rnacentral:rRNA from 1 species
UACGUAGGGGGCGAGCGUUGUUCGGAAUUACUGGGCGUAAAGGGCGUGUAGGCGGUGCGGUAAGUUGGGCGUGAAAUCCCCGAGCUUAACUCGGGUGGGCCGUUCAAGACUGCCGUGCUAGGGUGCGGGAGAGGGAAGUGGAAUUUCCGGUGUAGCGGUGAAAUGCGUAGAUAUCGGGAGGAACACCUGCGGCGAAGGCGGCUUCCUGGACCGUAACCGACGCUGAGGCGCGAAAGCUAGGGGAGCAAACAGG